rnacentral:lncRNA from 1 species
GGUUACAUCGGAUUUGUUGUUGUGUAGUGGGAGAUCUUAAGUGGAAAGUGUUAGGGAAACUAAGAUUAAACAACAAAAACAAAAUCAAGUAGGGUGAAGAAGGUGAUAAUAAAGAUGAUAGUGAAACUAAUGAGAAUGAUAAUAAAGCUCAGAAUAAUGGUAUUAGUAUCGAAGAAGAAUUUUUAAGUAGUAUUUGAAACGACGUCGUUUAGCAAGUUAACAGACGUUUAUGGUUUAAUAGUUGAGUUUCCGAGUUUCUAAAAUAGCCCGGUCAACAAAAAAAUGAAAGUUAAAAUGACUAACAUUUAAAAGACGUUUACAUUAUUUUUUGGCUCAACCACAAGUUAGAAAGAAAAAAAAUUUGCUUUAGUUCGAAAGUUCGGGGUUUAAUUGGCAGUUUACUGAACUCAUGGCUUCUUUUUCGAUGACCGUUGCAACGGCCAAGAAGACUUGGACGCCGUCGAGAAAAAUUCAAGGACAUUAUAUUUUCUCUGUUAGUCAGAGAGAGAGAAAGAGAGAGAGACCAAGAUAACAUACAUAUCGAUGAAGCAGAAAGAAGAUGAGGAGAAUGUCUAAUGACCAUGUGAGUUUACUAUUAGACAUUUCUUUUAUUUUAGCUAUCUCUUGUUAACAAU